CCCCCCGAGGCCCCGCCCCAUAACGCCAUCACGCAGGCUCCACCCCUAGUUCCCGAGGGUUGCCGGGCGCGAGCGGAAGCCUUGCGUCCGUCCCUUUCCGCGCCUGCGCAGAGAGCACCGGCCUGGAGGGGGCGCCCGUUGCUAGAGGCUGCAGUUGCUAUGGGAGACCUGGCGUCCGACCUGCAACCAGACCAGCAAAAAUGAAAAGGCCUGACAAUACAAAGUGUCACUGUGGAUACCGAACAAAAGGAACUUACAUUCUGCUGUGAGAAUGUAAAUUGGUACAACCACUUGGGAAAGCAGUCCAACAUCAU